CCCUUAGAUGUCCUGGGCCGCACGCGCGCUACACUGAGUGUCUGAGAUACGAGUCUGCCUGGUCCGGCAAGGUCUAGGUAAUCGCUAAAAGACACAUCAUGCUUGGGAUAGAUUAUUGCAAAUAUUAAUCUUGAACGAGGAAUUCCUAGUAAGCGCAAGUCAACAGCUUGCGUUGAUUACGUCCCUGCCCUUUGUACACACCGCCCGUCGCUACUACUGAUUGGAUGUUUAAGCGAGGUUCUCGAACUGCUAGCGACUUAGCUUCGGUGAGGUCGCAGUGCGGGAAGUGAACCUAGCUUUGGUGUCUAGAGGAAGUAAAAGUCGUAACA
rnacentral:rRNA from 1 species